AUGGCGCGGCAGGGCAGACUCGUCCUCGUCGCCGCCGCGGCCGCCCUGCUCCUCCUGCUGUGCGGCGGGACGGCGCUGGGGGCGAAGCGGGCGGCGAUCCCGGACGACCUCCGCGACGUGGUGGACGACGAGGAGGACGAGGAGUGGCGGCACUGGGGCGCCGGCUCCGGGGCGCGGGACGUCCCCGACCGGCCGCCGCCGGACCUGUCGCGGAUGGACCCCGCCGCGCUCCGGGCCGAGAUCCUCCGCGGCCACGGCGGGCCGUCGCUGGGCUUCGUGAAGCUCCGGCCCGGCGUCCGGCGGACCCGGGAGGAGGUGGCGGGGAUCGCGACGCGGUGGAGCAACGUGCUGCGGACCGGGUCGGUGGCGGCGAAAUUCGUGGCCGUGGACUUCGGCACGCUCAUGUUCACCAUGGAGAGAGGGCGCGACAUGCGCGAGGUCGGCGACCAGUUUUUCCGGAGGCCCGGAGACCCGCCCCUGGACCAAGUUAUCGAGAUGCUACGGAAACAGACCAAGAAUGAAGAUUCUUAA
rnacentral:rRNA from 1 species